rnacentral:lncRNA from 7 species
GGAAAGGCCCUCCCAUGAUCGUGUUUGCAUCCCCACAUCCUCCUGGGUAUGGACGAGAGAGCUCCAACUCCUUCAGGCUCUCACUGAUCCUCAUUGGAGUCCCCACAUAGGCAUGAAGGAAACUAAUCACAGGCAGUGCCGAGCUGGGCUGGAAGGAACGAGCCCAAACGCCGCCCGCUCGGCAAGCUAAACGCGGAUCUCGCAAAAUCAUCUCUCGAUGAAGGUAAAAUUCGACCGCCCGCUCCGGGCAGAGAUGUUGGAGCAGCCCGGGAGGUCUCAGCGGCCCUCAGCCCGCUGCCAAACCCGUUGGCUCUCAGCGCUGACCGCUCCCGCACCGCCCGGCCCGGCGCCCGCAGCGCUCCCACGUGCGGGGACAGCGAUUUUUUCACUAAAACCAUGGGAGAAGUUGGGAUUUUCUUUGGUUCGACCCCAAUAGGCAUUCACUGCUGUUUGUCAGACCUUCACGCUGGGCAGGUGUAACCAUCACAGAACAAGCACACAGUGUGGCAGCACAUGGGAGCACUCUGGAGCAGCGCUCCUGAGCUGGGCAGGUCCUGCCUCCUUCUCCAUCCUCACCACGACCACCUCCAAUGCACAGAGGAGCCCUGGGAUGGGGUGACACAGCCUGUCCUUGCCCUUCUGUUGGUGGUCAGAGGGUCGUGCAAAUUUAGGAUCGAACAAAGCUGUCCAUUAGGAGUCCUCCUGCCUCCACAAGCCGUGCUCUGUGUAGGAUAGAUGCAGUUCUCCUCCAGGCUCAGAUGGAUGCAGCCCAGGAAUCGCCCAAGAGACAAUAAAACAAACGUGAGACAAAGCAUUCAUUUACACCGCUUUAUUUCUGUAGUGUUCAGAGAAACUGGGAUGGACCAUUGUUAAAGAUCACUAUUUCCUGCGCUGCAAUAAAUGUCUCAUCU